CCUACGGGCGGCUGCAGUGGGGAAUAUUGCACAAUGGGCGCAAGCCUGAUGCAGCCAUGCCGCGUGUGUGAAGAAGGCCUUCGGGUUGUAAAGCACUUUCAGCGGGGAGGAAGGCGUUAAGGUUAAUAACCUUGUCGAUUGACGUUACCCGCAGAAGAAGCACCGGCUAACUCCGUGCCAGCAGCCGCGGUAAUACGGAGGGUGCAAGCGUUAAUCGGAAUUAAUGGGCGUAAAGCGCACGCAGGCGGUCUGUCAAGUCGGAUGUGAAAUCCCCGGGCUCAACCGGGGAACUGCAUUCGAAACUGGCAGGCUAGAGUCUUGUAGAGGGGGGUAGAAUUCCAGGUGUAGCGGUGAAAUGCGUAGAGGUCUGGAGGAAUACCGGUGGCGAAGGCGGCCCCCUGGACAAAGACUGACGCUCAGGUGCGAAAGCGUGGGGAGCGAACAGGAUUAGAUACCCCAGUAGUC
rnacentral:rRNA from 1 species